GUCUUCUAAUACUCCUUUUGGCCUUUAAAUCCAUGCUUUAGUUGUUGCCUUCCUUGAAGACAUGGCUGGGGGUGUCAUCUUAGUAUUUACAACCAUCAGUUAGGAUUACAUUGACAGCAUCUAGUGGGAGGGAGAGUCCACUAGACCCCAUGGCUGGAAAUCUGAAGAAAGAAAGCUGGCAUGCGUUAUAAAAUCACAAGAAUAGCCAGCACCAUCUCCACAGGCUGUGGAACCCCGCGCGAUACCAAGGGGAUUGGAGCAAGCAAGUUACACUCUCUGCUUCUCUUUCUAAGUCCCGCUUACCCUUCAAAUCUCCUCCUACACAUAACACCAUUUACUAUCCUGCAGAAUCAUUUAGGACUCACGGGCUUACAAGUGGGGCAGCACACGGGCAGUGGCUGAUGGAGGAGAGGGGAGGCAUCAGAAGAGAUGCUAUGAUGGAAUCUGCAGUCGCAGUAGCAGCAGUGGUGCCAGGGCCCAGGCUGUCAACCUUCCCCAGGCGCUCAGAUCGGUGUGUGACACGGAAGACAGCCGGACGCGCGAGUUGAGUCUCCUCGGGAAGCAUCACUCUGGCUGCUGAGUGGAAAGGAGAUUUUAAGACUGCUGUUGGGGAAGGAGGAAGACCAGUUGGGAGGCUGCUGCAUCUUCAGCUCCCGAUUACUCAUGGCUUCAGACUUCCAUCAAUUUAAUAAAAACAAAACAAUGGAGUGAAGACUGAAAAAUUACCUAUUGAGUACCAUGUUCACUGUUUGGAUGAUGGGUACACUGAAAACCCAGACUUCAUCAGCAUGCAGUAUAUGCAUCUAAAAGCUCUGCACUAAAUAUUUGUGAAAAAGAAGACAAAACAGGCAAUAAAAUAAUUCUGACAUAUUAAAACAGCCAGCCUAUAACUCAGUUCAAAAUAUUCGAGCAAAGCUGAGGUCUUUGGGUAGUUGGUAGGGUGAGUAAUAACUGAAUGGGGUGACAAUGAGGAGAGUCAGGAGGGCUAAACAUGGCUUCCACCUCUUGCCAAAGCCUGGUGUGGCUGCAGC
rnacentral:lncRNA from 1 species